GAUGAACGCUGGCGGCGUGCCUCAAACAUGCAAGUCGAGCGGGGCUAUGUAAUAUCGCAAGGUAGAACAUAGCCUAGCGGCGAACGGGUGAGUAACACGUGGGUAACCUGCCUGGAAGACAGGGAUAACGAUUCGAAAGGGUCGCUAAUACCUGAUAAUAUCCUUUCAUCGCAUGGUGAUAGGAAGAAAGGGGAAACCCGCUUUCAGAUGGGCCCGCGUCCCAUCAGCUAGUUGGUAAGGUAAAGGCUUACCAAGGCGACGACGGGUAGCCGGUCUGAGAGGAUGUACGGCCACACUGGGACUGAGAUACGGCCCAGACUCCUACGGGAGGCAGCAGUUGGGAAUCUUAGGCAAUGGACGAAAGUCUGACCUAGCGACGCCGCGUGAGGGAAGAAGGCCUUGGGUUGUAAACCUCUGUCAUGGGGGAAGAAGUAAGUGACGGUACCCAAGAGGAAGCCCCUGCUAACUACGUG
rnacentral:rRNA from 1 species